rnacentral:rRNA from 1 species
AGCGGACAGAAGGGAGCUUGCUCCCGGAUGUUAGCGGCGGACGGGUGAGUAACACGUGGGUAACCUGCCUGUAAGACUGGGAUAACUCCGGGAAACCGGAGCUAAUACCGGAUAGUUCCUUGAACCGCAUGGUUCAAGGAUGAAAGACGGUUUCGGCUGUCACUUACAGAUGGACCCGCGGCGCAUUAGCUAGUUGGUGAGGUAACGGCUCACCAAGGCGACGAUGCGUAGCCGACCUGAGAGGGUGAUCGGCCACACUGGGACUGAGACACGGCCCAGACUCCUACGGGAGGCAGCAGUAGGGAAUCUUCCGCAAUGGACGAAAGUCUGACGGAGCAACGCCGCGUGAGUGAUGAAGGUUUUCGGAUCGUAAAGCUCUGUUGUUAGGGAAGAACAAGUGCAAGAGUAACUGCUUGCACCUUGACGGUACCUAACCAGAAAGCCACGGCUAACUACGUG